rnacentral:rRNA from 1 species
GAUGAACGCUGGCGGCGUGCCUAAUACAUGCAAGUCGAGCGAACAGAUGAGGAGCUUGCUCCUCUGACGUUAGCGGCGGACGGGUGAGUAACACGUGGAUAACCUACCUAUAAGACUGGGAUAACUUCGGGAAACCGGAGCUAAUACCGGAUAAUAUAUUGAACCGCAUGGUUCAAUAGUGAAAGACGGUUUUGCUGUCACUUAUAGAUGGAUCCGCGCCGCAUUAGCUAGUUGGUAAGGUAACGGCUUACCAAGGCAACGAUGCGUAGCCGACCUGAGAGGGUGAUCGGCCACACUGGAACUGAGACACGGUCCAGACUCCUACGGGAGGCAGCAGUAGGGAAUCUUCCGCAAUGGGCGAAAGCCUGACGGAGCAACGCCGCGUGAGUGAUGAAGUCCUUCGGAUCGUCAAACUCUGUUAUUAGGGAAGAACAAAUGUGUAAGUAACUAGGCACGUCUUGACGUUACCUAAUCAGAAAGCCCCGGCUAACUACGUG